ensembl:lncRNA
AUGCCUGCAGAUGACUAUAACUGGGAGCUAUUAGCUGGAAAACGCAAUGGGAUCACAGCAUGAAGCCUUGUUUGCGGUUUGAGAAAGAUGCUGAUUGUACCUGCUGUGUUGAUUGUAUCUUAAAAUGGUUUGCAUCAUUCGAAUAACAAGAAUCUCAGCUUUCCAAGGAGUUGUUGUAUGUCACAAAGUUAACCCUCAAAAACACGCAGUGUACUGCGGGCAGAACAGUGGAACACUAACAGGUUAACUGCCCCCUCCGUCCGCGUGAAUAGAACGCUCUCUCCGCUCUCAUCCAUCCUGUGAUACGGAGGCCGUCGAAGGAAAUGAGCUCUCGUUCAUCAUUCCUCCCUCACUUCCAACUCACACAAACAAACAAACAAAUAAACACAUAAACAGCCCAUUACCGCCAGUCUCAGGCCUCAGCGAGCUCACGUACGGCCUGGGAAACGCUGGGAAUGAUGAUGUUUUUUUCUCCAUACAAACAUGUCUUUUUUUUCUGAAGGAGUUCAGGCUGGUUUUUGUGGUGAAUCUGUUGAGCGCUGUAUACGGCUCAGUGCUCGGUCUGACAGGCGUCUCAGCACAGCUGUAUUCUGCAUGCGUGUAUGUCUGUGUGUGUGUGUGUGGGCUGUACACAUGCUUUAACACUUGUUUGCUGUUCUCGUCUCAUCUCAGGGCCUCACCUGUGCCAGGUAAACAUCUGCUGCCGGCUCCCAGCAGGCAUUGCUCUGGGUGAGGGUGUGGCAUGCUCGUCUUGUGUGGCGGUGCUGCAGGUGGGCUCCGGCGGCUCGAGGGACUGAUAGAGUUAUUAACAGGUGAUGUUCUGGACAGAGUCCAUCUGACCCCACAGAGCCUUAAAUACAUCACUGUCCAACAGGGACCUCCAGAGACGAUGCCGAGCUUUAUCCGAGAGCUCUGGGUCGCCAGAAAUCGUCACCUAAUGGCUUUGACGGGGGACACACACUCGCCGCGUCUGUGUUUCUUUUGUCUUCAUUCAGAUUGAAAUGGACCGCUUGCAGCUCACGUGUAUCCAUCUUCCAGAACCCCCAGCUGUUCUGGUGUCUGCGGCCCAGCUUCCACGCAUCGCUUUACAAAUUGUCUGUGAAUAGUGUGAAUACCCCCCCACCACCACCACCACACACACACACUACCCCAUUACCGCCAUGUCCUGACAAAUGGUCCAUGUUUCUCUGAACGUGUGCUUGUGUGUUUACUGAUUUCAUCCACUGUUCGGUUGACAUCAAAACAGAAAUAUCAAAAAGCCUGAUUUUAGAUUCAGAAUAUUGAAAGGGAUGAAUCUUUGCAAUAUUCUUUUUCAUACUAUGAGAAUUUAUGAUGACUAUCCUUUGUCUGUCCUUUUAAAUGUCCUCAGAUGAUUGCAUCAGACUGAGCUCAGGUCACUGAUUCUGUAUUAGGUGUUAUAUUUCACAGAUGUCCAUUGUUUCAUGUGUCAUCAGCCCUGCUGGUUUGUAAGAACUGCAUCUUUUAUUAAAAAAAAAAGAGUUUGAUGGAAUGGAAAGGAAACAGAUUAUAGAAAAACUGCAACUGCGAGGCAAACAAACUGUCUCGCUUCCCUUUGUGAGAGUUUCAGAGGAAAUAAUUCAGACGGAUGGGAAGAUGAACGACCCGUCAGCUGAGGUCACAUGCUGAUUAGCCUUUUUCUCUGCUAUUUCACUCUUCGCAAACCAUUAUCCCUGACACACACUCCGGUUCUAUCCAUCCAUAAAAAUGAGGGAGGGCAGAGAGAGAGUGUGUGAAAGAGAGAGAGAGAGAUGCACUUGAAGACUUGUAGUAACAUCACUUGUAAUCGUGCUGUGCAGGUGGAUGCGAGGCCUUCCACAAUUUGAGCUGUUGUGAUUUAAAAUGACUUAUUGUGCAAGAUUUCUAUCAACUAUGAAUGAUGUUCUCAUCCCUAGAUAAUCUCUGCUUGUUUUAUGAUCUGCCUGGUGAAAAUACUAAGCCUGAUCAUUGAAGUAACAACACACCUCUCCUAAACAAGACAUGAUUUAAUGUUUCUUUCAUGCCUGUGGUCCAAAUGAUGCAACAAAAAUGACAAGCCAAAGUUUAAUAUUUAGUGUGUGCAUAUCAACGACUGUAAGUAUAAGCAAUGCUCGUCCUUAGUGAAUAUCAAUAAUAAAGGCAUUUCACGCUUAAUUCCCUGUGAAGUGUGAGUUAAAUCUUAAUAUGAGGAACUGCAGGGUAAAACAUGACACAUGCUGUCUGUCAUUUUGUUUUCUGACUCAGAGGAAAAUAAUAUCUGAAUGCAGUUCAGUAAUGGGAGCUGGAGAAAAUGACUCAGGCUCAUUAUGAUCUCCAUUUCUCUCCACAUUUGCUCUGAUGAAUGAUUCAGGCAGAACUGAUCGCCCGCUGUUUUCUGUGACCUACCUGUGCUUUCAUUCCACACUGAUACAAGCAGAAGAAUCAAUGAAAAACUACAGUGCUUUAUUUUGAUUAUGGUAUUUAAAUAGCUGAAAUAUGGCAGGUCAAAUCAGUGAAUGGUUUCUUAUUUUGUCCAAGGGGUUUCAGAAGGAUUUUAUUUAAGUAUUUUGAGAUAAUAUUUUAGAUUUUAUUAAUGUUUGAAUUAGUUUUUAUUUUUAUAUUUC